AAAGAAAGGGAGGGAGGGGAAGGGGCCAGCUGAGCUCCUUUGGUGUAGGAUCUUGAUGAUUCCUUUAUGUUCUGUAGACUGAAGCUUAAGAGCUCAGACUCAGGGAAACAGAGCAGGGUUUAAAUUACAGGAACCCCGGGGUGUCGCAGCAAUUAAGGGGAACACCAGCGGGGCUGUCUCUGUCAGUGAUGGCAACGUGAUGUGAGUGAUGUGAAUGGGCGGCAGGAGGGUCCCUGACCUGGCCUCCCAGGGGCAUCCCCUGUCCCAGGCUGAGGCAUUGCAGCACCCACAUCAUUCUUGUAAGGGGCCGAGAGCACAGGAAAGGGGAAGGGGGUACCGCAGACCCUGCCUGCCCUGCCCUCUCGCCUCCCUCCUCCACAUGCAGCAGAACUGAGCCCCCCACCUGGAGGAGAGAUGCCCCCAGGUGUGACUGGCAGCCACAGCAAGGACAGCCAGUGGACAGGGCCCGCCAGGCCACAUCUCCCUUGCUGAUCACAUCGUAUCCCUGCUUGUCUGGAGGACAGAGACAGGGGGAGGAGGUGUGGGCGCCCGGGGCUUUCCUAGCCGAAUCCCAGCAGGGAAUGCAAAUUUUUUUUUUUUCCAACUGCAGCUCUUCAUUGCCCAUUCCCAUCCUGCUCUGGUCCCCCCUGACCUCCAGGAUUUCCCAGCCUUAUUUACAUCUAUAAGCAGAUUCCUAUUUUCUCUUUCCUGAGGUCAUGGCCCUGCUCGCUGUCAUCCCUAUUGAUCUUCCCUCUCUGUUUCUGUUUCAAAUGUCAAGGUCAUCUUUAAUUCUGAGCCAGUUGUUGGAUGCCCCUUCUGGGUGCACAGAGGGGAUGGAGGACCAUCUCUCACAGCUCGUAACGGGACAGCUAGAACUUGGGUGUCCUGGCCGCUAAUCAGGUGCUCUUCCUGCUGUGCUGCUAGGUAGAUGGCUCCUGGGGUCAGUGCAGAAGGUGUUCUAGACCUAAUAGAUCAGCUCGAUCCUGGUGUGCCUGGUGCUUCUUACUUCAGAAGGUGAAAAGAUGCUCAGAAGGACGUUAUGCGGUCAGAUCUGCAGUUGACUGAGCUGGGAGCUGGAUGUGGGCUCUGUCAUGGUGAAUGCCCAGGAACACCUGAGCUGGGAGGCUGGGAGCUUGCCUUCCCUCAGAGUUUCCCCAGAGGACUCAGGGAGGGGCAGGCGAGGGUGCUUGGACCCAUGCCAGGCAACUGAGAUCCUCCAGCAAAGCAGAACCUGUUGGCAAAGGGCUUCUUGACAGCACGUUCCUGUGUGAUUUAUUUUGUAGACUCUGAAAGGGUACCUAAGUUAAUGGAUAAAAGGGAAUCUAGUCAGAUUCUCCCAAAGCCUUUGAAAUGGGAUACUCAGUGUGUCUAUUCUGACAUGUUGGAUGUCCAUGAUAUGGUGUGAGGUCACCCCCACAAGCAGCGUGCAGAGUCUGAUCUCAUUUUUGUCAAGUUCCUUUAAAAUGUAUACCAGUAUGCACACGUAUGCUAGUGAUGCUUAGAAAAAAAAUUGUUCUAGAAGGAUCAUCCAGCAAGCGUGUCAGCAUUUUGGUUAUACACUUUAUAUACUUUUGUAACCUUUGCGACAGUGUAAAGGCACAUGCAUUCCUUUCUUAAUGACCACAGCAAAAAUAAAACCACAGUUUUGAAGCUUCUGGAUAAGAACUUGAAAAAAAUUUGAGUCACCCUUAGGCUGGAAGGGUGGGCCCUUUUAUAAUGGAUGUGAAACUGGCUUGGAGAGUGACAGCAAAGGGUGGAGCCACUCAGGUACUUGUAUUUUCUGGAAAGGUUGCAGGGAGAUUUAUUGCAGACCCUGAGGUCUCCAAGCGAAGGCAUGGACUGGUUGGGGUUGGGUGAGAGCGGAAAAGAGGCAGCUGGCAGCACCCCAGCUCACGCCGGGGCUGCAGACCGAGUUCGCAUUAGAGGGCAGGGACGGGAAGCUCUCAGAUCUGAGCAGGAUGACAAACUGAUCAUCGAGGAUCUUCAGUCUGGUUGCUCUUGUGACCCAAAUGGUCCUGGUGUGGACCUCAGGCGACCCAGCCCUGGCGUAGCCUGGGGAGCCACACCAGGGCAGCCACAUGCAGGGAGGACAAGAUGGCGCUUCAGGAGGCCUGGGAAACUCGUCUGGCAUGUGGGCUCAAGCUGUGCCCGACUCUGAUCCGGAGGCCCAGGAGCAGGUGGCAGUGACCCAGGUGACAGGGUGGAGAGGUGAGGAGGGGCGGAUACAAAUUCCUCUGCUGGUUGCUUGGCAACAGUGCCCACCUCCCCCUUCCACAAUCGGGUCUCCCAGCCCCGGGCCAUGGGUGCCAACUUGGAGCUUGCUUUGCCCCCUUUUUGAAGACUGGAAAAAGGGUAUGUGGACUUCUCCAGCCCCGCCCCACCCCGCCUCUGGAGUGAGGCUGGAAGAUAAAUAAAAGGACCAUUAGCAUCAGCAUGGGAGCAAACCUGUCCCUCUGCAGACCGCCCCUUGUCCCAGGUUGCCAGGAGACAGAUGUGCAGGGCACAGAAGUGACCAGAGGGCGGGCAGACCUUGAUUUGCAUCUCAGCCCUGCUACUCCUACGGUAACUGAGAGACCUAAAGGUCUCUGAGCUGGGUGCUUCAUCUGUGAAUCAAGGAUAAGAGGAGCAUCUGCCUCUUACUGGUAUUGCUCGAAUAUAAUGAAAUAUUGUGUGAUGACAUCAGCACUGUGCCUGGCGCAUAGUAGGUACUCAGGUGGUGUGCAUUCCUUUUCUCUUAGUUGGGUCAUGACAGGGGUGCAUCUGGGGACUGGGUGAGAUGACCCCUUCAAAGGCUCCCUUGUCUUCCAAGACCCCGCACGUGUUGUCUGUCGUCCUCAUCACCUCUGAGGGGUUGCAGGGCCUUUGUCUCCUCCUCUGUAAAGCCUGGAUUUGGCUGCUUGAUCUUCAGCCCUGGGCAUCUCAUCUCUGGGCCUUUAAUUUUGAUGUACUUCGAUCAGUUUCUUGAGUCUCCGUGCCCACCAGGAACCAAGCAGUUUCCUCAAGCCCUGGGCCCUCUCCCUUCCUGCCCUCUGCUCUCUUUGGGUCCAGAGCAGGCACUGGCCUCUGCUCUGGUUGCUGGGCUCGCUGGCAGGGCCAGCUCUGCCCCCUGGCCCACAGGCAUGGGAGGGUCUAGACCUCAGCCGGGCUUGGCAGCUGGCGCACAGCACUGCUUCCUAAUGGUUUUAUUACCAGCAACAAUGUGGUGCUUGUUGCCAUCCUCUCCCAGGCCUGUGGUUCCCAGCCCAACUAGCGGUGGCCUGAGGGCCUGCCUGGUACUGGCAGCUCAGCUGGGAAGCCCAGUGGGGCAGGGCAGUCGCCUCUGCGUUUUCUUUGGUCAACACCUUCUAUGUAGCCUGAACUCUGAGAUGGCAUGGUGAGAGACUGGGGCCCCGACUCGACAGGCCUGGCAGCUCUUAAGUUUUCUCUCCGGAGGCUCCUUGUUUCAGAUCCACAAAUAACAUUUAUUUAUUCAUUCACUAAAGACCUACUAUGUGUCAGACACUGGCUACAAAAUUAUAAAGAGGACUGAGCCGGUCCUCAGGGUGUCUGCAGCGGAGGCGAGAGUCUGGCAAGGUGACCAUUACAUCAUAGGUGGGUGGAGAGAGCUCUGCGGCAUGUGCCCAGGGCAUUCCAUGAGCUCAGAGAAGGGACAUCUCAGGCAAGUGGGGAGGGAAGAUCCAAGAAGGGUUUCUUAAGGAGGUGAGGCUGGAGCUGAAUCUUGAAGGGUGGGCAGCAGUUAGCCGAGUGGUCCAGGGCAUGUUCUCCCUUGGUGCAGCAAGAGUGAAGGGUGAUGGGAGCCAUGGGAUGUGAGGCUAGGAGGGCUGAGCAGGGCUGGACAGAAGGCUGGGAUGUUACCCAUCAAUAAGCAUUGGGCUUGGAGUACCGUGCCCGUAUUUGUGUAUCAGAAAGAUGGUCCAGGGGCAUCAGGGAGAAGAAAUUGGGCAGCUGAGGCUGGGGACAGAUUGUCCAGGCAGAAGGCUGGUGCAGGAGUCCAGGGGAGCAGCAGCGCAGGCGUGG
ensembl:lncRNA